rnacentral:rRNA from 1 species
UACAGAGGAGCCAAGCGUUGUCCGGAUUGACUGGGCGUAAAGCGCACGCAGGCGGCCGGGCGCGUGGGGUGUGAAAUCUGGCCGCUUAACGGCCAGGCGCCAUCCCAUACGGCUCGACUGGAGUGAUGCAGAGGUCGAUGGAAUUGCCGGUGUAGUGGUGAAAUGCGUAGAGAUCGGCAGGAACACCCAGGGGGAAACCAGUCGACUGGGCAUCUACUGACGCUGAGGUGCGAGAGCGUGGGGAGCGAACCGG